rnacentral:rRNA from 1 species
UACGGGGGGAGCAAGCGUUGUUCGGAUUUACUGGGCGUAAAGGGCGCGUAGGCGGCGCGACAAGUCACUUGUGAAAUCUCCGGGCUUAACCCGGAGCGGCCAAGUGAUACUGUAGUGCUAGAGUGCGGAAGGGGCUACUGGAAUUCUCGGUGUAGCGGUGAAACGCGUAGAUAUCGAGAGGAACACCUGCGGCGAAGGCGGGUAGCUGGGCCGACACUGACGCUGAGGCGCGAAAGCCAGGGGAGCGAACGGG